rnacentral:rRNA from 1 species
GAAGGUGGCAAGCGUUAUUCGGAUUUACUGGGCGUACAGGGAGCGUAGGCGGUUCGGUAAGCCCUCUGUGAAAUCUUCAGGCUUAACCUGGAAAAGUCGGAGGGGACUGCUGGGCUAGAGGACGGGAGAGGAGCGCGGAAUUCCCGGUGUAGCGGUGAAAUGCGUAGAGAUCGGGAGGAAGGCCGGUGGCGAAGGCGGCGCUCUGGAACGUUUCUGACGCUGAGGCUCGAAAGCGUGGGGAGCAAACAGGAUUAGAUACCCUGGUAGUCCACGCCUUAAACUAUGAAUACUAAGUGUCGGCGGGUUACCGCCGGUGCCGCAGCUAACGCAUUAAGUAUUCCGCCUGGGAAGUACGGCCGCAAGGUUG